UACCUGGUUGAUCCUGCCAGUAGUCAUAUGCUUGUCUCAAAGAUUAAGCCAUGCAUGUGUAAGUAUGAACAAAUUCAGACUGUGAACCUGCGAAUGGCUCAUUAAAUCAGUUAUAGUUUGUUUGAUGGUAUCUACUACUCGGAUAACCGUAGUAUUUCUAGACCUAAUACGUGUAACAAACCCCGACUUCUAUAAGGGAUGCAUUUAUUAGAUAAAAGGCCGACGCGGGCUCUGCCCGUUGCUGCGAUGAUUUAUGAUAACUCGACGGAUCGCACGACCAUCGUGCCGUUAACGCAUCAUUCAAAUUUCUACCCUAUCAACUUUCGAUGGUAGGAUAGUGGCCAACCAUGGUUGUGACGGGUGACGGAGAAUUAGGGUUCGAUUCCGGAGAGGGAGCCUGACAAACGGCUAUCACAUCUAAGGAAGGCAGGAGGCGCGCAAAUUACCCAAUCCUGACACGGGGAGUUAGUGACCAUAAAUAAAUAACAAUACCGGGCUCUAUGAGUAAUUUGAAUGAGUACAAUCUAAAUGCCUUAACGAGGAUCCAUUGGAGGGAAAGUCUGGUGCCAGCAGUCGCGGUAAUUCCAGCUCCAAUAGCACAUAUUUAAGUUGUUGCAGUUAAAAAGUUCGUAGUUAGACUUUGGGAUGGGCCGGACGGUCCGCCCUAGGUGUGCACCGGUGGUCGCGUCUAUUCUGUCGGCGAUGUGCUCCUGGCCUUAAUUGGUCGGGUCUUGCCUCUGGCGCUGUUACUUUGAAGAAAUUAGAGUACACAAAGCAAGCCUACGCUUUGUAUAGAUUAACAUCGGAUAACAUUAUAGAAUAUUGGUCCUACUACGUUGGCCUUCAGGAUCGGAGUAAUGAUUAACAGGGACAGUCAGGUGCAUUCAUAAUUCAUAGUCAAAGGUGAAAUUCUUGUAUUUAUGAAAGACGAACAACUGCGAAAGCAUUUGCCAAGGAUGUUUUCAUUAAUCAAGAAUGAAAGUUGGGGGCUCGAAGAAGAUCAAAUACCGUCCUAGUCUCAAUCAUAAACGAUGCCGACCAGGGAUCAUCGGAUGCUGCUUUUAGGAUUCCGCCGGCACCUUAUGAUAAAUCAAAGUUUUUGGGUUACGGGGGGAUUAUGGUUGCAAGGUUCAAAGUUAAAGUAAUUGACCGAAGGGCACCACCAGGAGUCGAGCUUGCGGCUUAAUUUGACUCAACACGGGGAAACUUAUCGGGUCCAGACGUAGUAAAGAUUGACAGACUGAGCUAUUUCUUGAUUCAAUGGGUGGUGGCGCAUGGCCGUUCUUAGUUGGUGGAGCGAUUUGUCUGGGUCCUUCGCACCCAGCUUUUUAGAGGGACUACUGCAUUUUUAGCCGCGGAAGUUUGAGGCAAUAACAGGUCUGUGAUGACAUUAGAAGUUCUGGGCCGCACGCGAGCUACACUGAUAUAUUCAACGAGUUUAUAGCCUUGGCCGACAGUCCCGGGUUAUCUUUCAUAUUUCAUCAUGAUGAGGAUAGAUUAUUGCAAAUGUUGGUCUUCAACGAGGAAUUCCUAGUGAGCGCGAGUCAUUUGCUCGUGUUGACUACGUCCCUGCCCUUUGUAAACAUCACCCGUCGCUCCUACCGAUUAAAUGAUCUGGUGAGAUGAGUGGAUCGCGGCGACGUGGGCGGUUCGCUACCAUAUCAUUGAACCUUAUCAUUUAAAGGAAGGAGAAGUCGUAACAAGGUUUCCGUAGGUGAAGCUGUGGAAGAAUCAUUA
rfam:Solanum tuberosum cultivar DM 1-3 516 R44 scf00701_6, whole genome shotgun sequence.